GGGAGGUAUAAGGAAGAAACAUAGUAAGUUCUUUUUUAAGAAAGAAAUCUUUAGAUUCCUUCUUGAAAAAUUCUUUUAGGGGCGCCUGGGUGGCUCAGAUGGUCAUGCAUUUGACUCUUGAUUUUGGCUCAGGUCUUGAUCUUAAGGUU